GACGAACGCUGGCGGCGUGCUUAACACAUGCCAGUCGAACGGAAAGGCCCUGCUUGCAGGGUACUCGAGUGGCGAACGGGUGAGUAACACGUGGGUGAUCUGCCCUGCACUUCGGGAUAAGCCUUGAAAACUGGGUCUAAUACCGGAUAGGAGCCAUCUUUAGGGUGAUGGUUGGAAAGUUUUUUCGGGGUAGGAUGAGCUCGCGGCCUAUCAGCUUGUUGGUGGGGUAAUGGGCUACCAAGGCGGCGACGGGUAGCCGGCCUGGGAGGGUGGACGGCCACAAUGGGACUGGGGUACGGCCCAGGCUCCCAAGGGGGGCAGCCGGGGGGAAGAUUGCACCAGGGGGGCGAGGCUGAUGCAGCGACGCCGCGGGGGGGAUGACGGCCUUCGGGUUGUAAACUCCUUUCGCUCGGGACGAAGCUUUUUGUGACGGUACCUAGAUAAGAAGCACCGGCUAACUACGUG
rnacentral:rRNA from 1 species